UACGUAGGGAGCAAGCGUUGUCCGGAAUCAUUGGGCGUAAAGCGCGCGCAGGCGGUCCUUUAAGUCUGAUGUGAAAGCCCACGGCUCAACCGUGGAAGGUCAUUGGAAACUGGAGGACUUGAGUACAGAAGAGGAAAGCGGAAUUCCACGUGUAGCGGUGAAAUGCGCAGAUAUCGGGAGGAACACCAAUUGCGAAGGCAGCUCGCUGGGACGUCACUGACGCUAAGACGCGAAAGCGUGGGGAGCAAACAGG
rnacentral:rRNA from 1 species